rnacentral:lncRNA from 1 species
GAGUUCUGAUGAGAUCCGGUGCAUUAGUGCUGGUAUGAUCGCACUCGUUUAAUUCUGCGCUGCAAAUACAUAAAUGCCUUCCCCUUUCUUCCCCCUACCGUCAUUUGUUUCCUUGUGCGUGCGCACUGCACCUCCCGUGCUCGUUCUAAUAUCAAGUAAAAUGCUACGGUGCCGUGACUCACAUUUGCGAAUAAACCUGACGACCAUAAUUCAAGUCGCGCUUAUCGUCGAAACAAUCAUCUGCAAAAAAAUGGGUGCAACACGAGGACUUCCUAAGAAAAUUGGUGAAAUAUAAGGACUUUGCAGGAGGUCACCCAUCCUAAUGCUACUCUCGCCCAAGCACCCUUAACUUGCGGAGUUCUGAUAGAAUCCGUCGCAUUGGUGCUGGUAUGAUUGCUCAUGUUUCAUUCUGCACUGCAAAUACAUACACUUUUUCUCCCUCCAUCCCCCCUCCCGUCAUUUGUUUCCUUGUGCGUGCACUCUGCAUCUCUCCUUCUCGUUCUAAUAUCGAUUAAAAUGCCCCUGCUUCUUGACUCACAUUUGCGUAUGAACCAGGGGACCCUAGUUCCAGUCGCGCGUAACGUCGAACGACUCGUCUGAAAAAAAAAUUAGUGCGACACGAGGACUUCCCAAGAGGUCACCCAUCCGAGUACUACUCUCGCCCAAGCACACUUAACUGCGGAGUUCUGAUGGGAUCCGGUGCAUUAGUGCUGGUAUGAUCGCACAGGUUUAAUUUUGCGCUGCAAAUACAUAAACUCCGUCUCCUUUCUUCCCCCUCCCGUCAUUUGUUUCCUUGUGCGUGCGCACUGCACCUCUCGUUCUCGUUCAAAUAUCAAGUAAAAUGCCACGGCGCCGUGACUCACAUUUGCGAAUAAAUUUGUGGACUAUAAUUAAAGUCGCGCGUAACGUCGAACGGCACAUCUGAAAAAAAGAAAAUGGGUGCAUCACGAGGACUUCACAAGAAAAAGGGUGAAAUAUAAGGACUUUGAAGGAGGUAACCCAUGCUAGUACUACUCUCGCCCAAGCACCCUUACCUACGGAGUUCUGAUAGAAUCCGUUGCAUUAGUGCUGGUAUGAUCGCACCUGUUUCAUUUCGUGCUGAAAAUACAUACACUCCUUCUCCUUCCCUCCCACUCCCAUCAAUUGUUUCCUUAUGCGUUCACACUGCACCUCUCUUUCUCGUUCAAAUAUUAAGUAAAAUGCCACGGUGCCGUGACUCACAUUUGCGAAUAAAUCUGCGGACCAUAAUUAAAGUCGCGCGUAACGUCGAGCGGCACAUCUGAAAAAAAGAAAAUGGGUGUAACACUAGAACUUCCCAGGAGGUAACCCAUCAUUGUACUACUUUCGCCAAAGCACACUUAACUGCGGAGUUCUGAUGGGAUCCGGUGCAUUUGUGCUGGUAUGUUCGCACCCGUUUAAUUCCGCGAUGCAAAUACAUAAACUCCUUCUCCUUUCUUCCCCCUCCCGUCAUUUGUUUCCUUGUGCGUGCGCACUGCACCUCCCGUGCUCGUUCUAAAAUCAAGUAAAAUGCUACGGUGCCGUGACUCACAUUUGCGAAUAAAUCUGACGACCAUAAUUCAAGUCGCACGUAUCGUCGAAAGAAUCAUCUACAAAAAAAUGGGUGCAACACGAGAACUUCCUAAGAAAAUUGGUGAAAUAUAAGGACUUUGCAGGAGGUCACCCAUCCUACUGCUACUCUCGCCCAAGCACCCUUAACUUGCGGAGUUCUAAUAGAAUCCGUCGCAUUGGUGCUGGUAUGAUUGCUCAUGUUUCAUUCUGCGCUGCAAAUACAUACACUUUUUCUCCCUCCAUCCCCCCUCCUGUCAUUUGUUUCCUUGUGCGUUCACACUUCACCUCUCCUUCUCGUUCUAAUAUCGAUUAAAAUGCCCCUAAUUCUUGACUCACAUUUGCGUAUAAACCAGCGGACCAUAGUUCCAGUCGCGCGUAACGACGAACGACCCAUCUGAAAAAAAAUUGUUGCGAUACGAGGACUUCCCAAGAGGUCACCCAUCCGAGUACUACACUCGCCCAAGCACACUUAACUGCAGAGUUCUGAUGGGAUCCAGUGCAUUAGUGCUGGUAUGAUGCCACUUGUUUAAUUUUGCGCUUUAAAUACAUACACUCCUUCUCUUUUCUUCCUCCUCCCAUCAUUUAUUUCCUUGUGCGUGCGCACUGCACCUCCCGUACUCGUUCUAAUAUCAAGUAAAAUGCCACGGCGCCGUGACUCACAUUUGCAAAUAAACCUGCGGACCAUAAAUCAAGCAGCGCGUAACGUCGAAAGAAUCAUAUGCAAAAAGAUGGGUGCAACACGAGGACCUCCCAAGAAAAUGGGUGAAAUAUAAGGACUUCGUAGGAGGUCACCCAUCCGAGUACUUUUCUCGCCCAAGAACCCUUAACUGCGGAGUUCUGAUAGAAUCCGUUGCAUUAGUGCUGGUAUGAUCCCUCAUGUUUCAUUCUGCACUGCAAAUACAUACACUCUUUCUCCUUCCAUCCCCCCUCCCGUCAUUUGUUUCCUUGUGCGUGCGCACUGCACCUCUCGUUCUCGUUCAAAUAUCAGGUAAAAUGCCACGGCGCCGUGACUCUCAUUUGCGAAUAAAUCUUCGGACCAUAAUUAAAGUCGCGCAUAACGUUGA